AUUGAACGCUGGCGGCAUGCUUUACACAUGCAAGUCGAACGGUAACAGGUUAAGCUGACGAGUGGCGAACGGGUGAGUAAUGCAUCGGAACGUGCCCGAUCGUGGGGGAUAACGCAGCGAAAGCUGCGCUAAUACCGCAUACGAUCUGAGGAUGAAAGCGGGGGACCGUAAGGCCUCGCGCGAUCGGAGCGGCCGAUGUCAGAUUAGGUAGUUGGUGGGGUAAAGGCUCACCAAGCCAACGAUCUGUAGCUGGUCUGAGAGGACGACCAGCCACACUGGGACUGAGACACGGACCAGACUCCUACGGGAGGCAGCAGUGGGGAAUUUUGGACGAUGGGCGAAAGCGUGAUCCAGCAAUGCCGCGUGCAGGAAGAAGGCCUUCGGGUUGUAAACUGCUUUUGUACGGAGCGAAAAGGCUCUCUCUAAUACAGGGGGCUCAUGACGGUACCGUAAGAAUAAGCACCGGCUAACUACGUGCCAGCAGCCGCAGUAAUAC
rnacentral:rRNA from 1 species